UAUUUGAGAGUUUGAUCCUGGCUCAGGAUGAACGCUGGCGGCGUGCCUAACACAUGCAAGUCGAGCGAACCCUUCGGGGUGAGCGGCGGACGGGUGAGUAACGCGUGGGUAACCUGCCCUGUACACACGGAUAACAUACCGAAAGGUAUGCUAAUACGGGAUAACAUAUGAGAGUCGCAUGGCUUU
rnacentral:rRNA from 1 species